GACGGACUACUUCCGUAGUGGGAGGGACAAAAGUGCUUCCAUGUGAACUUGUGUUAGUGAGCGCUUUAAUUCUCUUUUUAGCGUCAUCAUCAUUUUCAGUGUCAACAGUAUGACAUCAGCUGGAAACACCAUUGACGACGAGGACACAUUCAAGAUCCUCAUUGCUACUGACAUUCAUCUAGGCUAUCUGGAGAAGGAUGCCAUAAGAGGAAACGACACGUUCGUGACCUUUGACGAGAUCAUGAAACAAGCUGUGCAAAAUGA